UGUUCUUACGCAUGCGCUCAUUUCAAAAACUCACUAACAAAAUCUUUGGUUUUUCAGUCGACGAAAAGAUCCUCUGUAGCACCUUUAACACAGACUCUGGAGAGGAUCAGUGAAUCAGGACACUGUAACUAACCACUGUAUUAAGCCUGCCGCGAUUGGUCAAAAUAAUCGACUGCGUUGAUGCUGAUAAUUAGUUGACUUCAAUAUUUUUAAUCGACUUCAAUAUUUAUAAUACCUUUUAAAUUUCGUUUUCAAGCUUUGACUAAAAUAACAACCGUUUCCUCCACACCACUAGUGUGAGCUAACGUUACGCGCGUCACGUCAAAGUUUCCAAGGAUGGCGGGUUGGCGGGUGAAGCGGAGUCGAGUGCGAUGUCAAACGAGUUUGUUAGCAAAAAGAAGUACAGAUUAGCUGAUAAUAAAAAGGUGGUUUGUACACUCUGGUUUCGUUGGCCUGCCACAGCAGCACAAGCUCGAUGCAUGAACGACUGAUGAGGAAACAUUAGGGGCUAUUCUGGAUGAUGGGCCGCCGGUAAAGGUAAAGCCACAGUCACGGCUGUGUGCUCAAACUGAGCAACUGCCAUUGAGAUGGAUGGGAGUGCUGACAGAUUUCUCCAGGUAUUAGACCUUCUUGGUAGGCAGAUGGUGAGCUCAUUACAUAUAGACAGACAGCAAAAUGUUCCUCAUGUGCAAACUACCUCACGGACUGGAUUGAUGAUCAUUGGAAAGAGGAGAUGCAGACUCGACGGGGACCCUCGGCUGCCCGCUGCUGUCCCACCUAUUUCGGGAACACAUGAUGCAGUUUGCACUGGAUGGUUGUAAUUCGCCUGCGGCAUCUCUCCAGGAAGGUCCGGUCCAGUAAUCCGUUAGCCUGCGGAGGAACCAUUUUCAGUUUUGAACAGUCUUUAUUGCUGCUCUUCCACUUUGCCAUGAAUCUUUGGGCUGCACCGCUCCGUAUCCCCUGAACAAAGCCCUCACUGUCUGGAUGGAUGUCUCUUGUUUCCCAUAAUUUCAGUCGUGCCCUUGAAAGUGUGAAAAGCUGAGGUCAAAGGUGAGGUCUGAGACUGUACUUCAUGAAAGAUUAAGCAGCCCUCUCUUGUUUCCUAUGCAUAGUUAAAGCUGAGAGGAGUCCCCCACUGCUCUACACAUUUAUUUUUAUCUGCAGGUUUGAUCCGGCCCAUUUACAGCUCAAAUUUGAUUAACUUUAUGAUUUAGCGUGGGAAGAGCCAGCAGAACAUUCACUCCUGAUCGCUAUUAUUCCUCUCACGCUCUCAUAAUCAGGCUGGAGGGAGUGGCUAGUCAGGUCAUAUGUGCACUAGUUGUCAGUCACCCCAUAUAUAUGUGAAUAAUUAUGAAUAAUUUUUUGCUCGCAAGAAUUAUUUCGACAGAAUAAAAAAAAGAUACUUUUGAAUUGCCAUUAA